ACGUGAGUUAUCGCGGUGUUAUCAAUAUGACUUAACUAAUGAGGAUGUCGAAAAUUUAAUGAAAAAAAGUGUGCAGACGAAAUAUUGGAAAAUAUCGGGUAUUGUGAAGUUAAUUCAAUAUGGCGCGACAAAAUUUAUUUCUUAUGUGAGUUCCAAACUAUUUACGCCUUUUCUCAGUGAUAAGGGCUUCAAACAGUGAUUCACGAACUUGAAGACUUUGGGAUUCAGAUUUUCUAAAAGUUGUGUUUGGCCAGACCAAUGGCGAAAACUACGAUUUGUUUAGCUUUUUCUUUGUUCAUAGCUGUGUUGUCACAGAGAGAUUGCAAGAUCAAAGAUAAAUCAGAUCCAUGCAAGAGAUACAACACAAGAGACAUUCCGUACCUAGACAGCAGACAUCCUUCCGUCCGAUACACUGACAAAACUGCCGAUGUUAACAAAUACUGUGACCUUUAUGCGCUGGAUGAUGGGGUCUGGUAUAUCAGUGACUACAACAUAACCCAGACGUGUGUACAACAAGAAUCAUGUGGUUCACGUCUACCGAUCUGGUUAAAUGGGACAAUGCCAACAUCAGCAGAAGGAGCUGUUAAUCGAUCGGCGUGUCUAAGGACGUAUGAUGGGUGUUGUGCAAAAUCGUACAUGUUAAUGGUCAAGAACUGCAUUUAUUACAAUGUGUACUGCUUCUGGAAUCUUCCACAUGACUGUCCUGAAAGAUACUGUUUCGACGUAGACCUUUCAAAGGCCACCACUACUACUACAACUACCACAACUACGUCGACAACUUCAUCAAGUUCAGUAACUAUGCAAAAGGUCCCAGCCACUUCAAAGACAGAUGACAAAGCGAAAAGAAACGAUGGUAAUGGUAACAGGGAUGUAAUAAUCGGAUUGUCGUCUGUGAUCGUUGUAUCUGUUUCAGCUAUUGUCGUGUUGUCCGGUCUAAUUGUAGUUCUUAAAAAGUAAAAAACUGGCGACCUCUGUUCUACCAAAUCCAGUGAAUGGGGAAAAGGUUGCGAUAUAUUAGACCAUAUCAGCUGGACCAGCUUAAGUGUGAAAAAGUAGAAGAAAGAGAUGUCGUCUUCUAUUUAACAUUAUCGUAUAAACGUUCAAUCUUGAAAAUAUUAUUGUUUUUCUUUUCUGUGAUUGUAAUUUGUUAUGACUUAUAAUACGAGAAGGUUAACACCGGUGGCCACAUUUUUAUUGUUAUAAGUGACAAUUUAUAUAUAGUUCUAUAGCCAAAGAAGUACCAAUGAAAAAAAUAUCAGAAUGUAUAAAUAUUUACUGAUGUCAAUAUUCUAAAAUUACCAUUUUACAGCAACAUAUGAUUUUGAAAUCUGUAGAGGUACCAUGUGAAGUGUUUUAUCGCAUAAGAAUGUCAAAAGAUCAUGCAAAUAUUUUUCGUUUGAUUAAUAAUUAAUGCAACAAACGACAUGAUUUUUUUUAUCUAAAUAACAAUGUUUUGAUUCUUAUGAGUAUUAUAUGUGUUGCAUCUAUAUUCAUAAUUUGUACAAAGUUCAGUUGCAAGAGUUAAAACUUAUUUAAGAGUAAAGGUCGUUCAUAAAGAUGGAGUUGAUUGCCUGAAACAGGCAUAUUUCAAAAACUGGUAGCUAAAUUUUAUAAUAGUUUUACACGUUGCAUUAAUUCUUGAAUUGUACAGAAACACCAAAAGCUUGGAUUUUGUCAUAUAUUUAGGCAAAAAAAUAAUUCUUAUAAUAUUCUGAUUGUUAAUGUAAAUUUGCUUUGUUUUUACACCUGUCUGAUGUGUUGUACAAAAUAAAUCAUCAUUAAUUAA
rnacentral:misc_RNA from 1 species